rnacentral:rRNA from 1 species
UAGGGGCCGAGCGUUGUCCGGAGUUUWUKGGGSKWAAAGCGCGCGCAGGCGGCCUCGCGCGCCCGACGUGAAAGCCCCCGGCUUAACYGGGGAGGGUCGUUGGGGACGGCGGGGCUUGAGGGCGGGAGAGGUCGGUGGAAUUCCCGGUGUAGUGGUGAAAUGCGUAGAGAUCGGGAGGAACACCUGUGGCGAAGGCGGCCGACUGGGCCGACCCUGACGCUGAGGCGCGAAGGCGUGGGGAGCGAACGGGAUUAGAUACCCCGGUAGUCCACGCAGUAAACGAUGCAGACUAGGCGUGGGGGGACUUGACCCCCUCCGUGCCGGAGCCAACGCGGGAAGUCUGCCGCCUGGGGAGUACGGCCGCAAGG